rnacentral:sRNA from 1 species
AUGGCAAUCGUGCUAGUACAGUUGGAUUUUCUAGACAAUGGAAGAGGAGGCUUUUUCCUUCUACAUGUUGGCUACAAGUACAACAACAAAGUCUACUGGAGAUGUGACGACAGGCAGUGUCCAGCCACACUGACAACAUGCAACAACAUCGUGGCGGCCUUUGGAAGACCGCAUAACCAUGAAGAGGACUACAUUGGACUGGCGGCAGAGUCCUUGAUCAGUGGCGUGAAGAAGAGGUGCAAAGAGGAAGCAAAACCCAUCCCCGCCAUCUGCGAUGAGGAAAUAGGAGGACUGCGUAACUCGGAGUGUAACGACUCGGUGGAGGACAUGAUAAGAAACAUUCCUACUUUCCAGGCCUGUAAGUCCUCACUCUACAGGAACCAGUCCACCACAAUCCCGAAGCUACCUACAACCAAGGAAGACAUCAACCUCGAGGGACCGUUCAUCCAGGUUAUACAGAAGGAGCAAGCUGUAAAUGAAGCCAAGAUGAUUCAGCUAGCUGCUGGUGGUGUUGUGCGUCCAAAGAAGAAGUACAAGCAAUUUGACAGCCGUAUUCGACAUCUGAAGGACCAACUCAGACAAGGCGACAUCCAGCUGAUGGAGUAUGCGGAUGCAGCCUCCCAUCUUCUUCACCUGGAGUGA